rnacentral:rRNA from 1 species
AUUGAACGCUGGCGGCAGGCUUAACACAUGCAAGUCGAGCGGGGUGAUGGUGCUUGCACUAUCACUUAGCGGCGGACGGGUGAGUAAUGCUUAGGAAUCUGCCUAUUAGUGGGGGACAACAUCUCGAAAGGGAUGCUAAUACCGCAUACGUCCUACGGGAGAAAGCAGGGGAUCACUUGUGACCUUGCGCUAAUAGAUGAGCCUAAGUCGGAUUAGCUAGUUGGUGGGGUAAAGGCCUACAAAGGCGACGAUCUGUAGCGGGUGUGAGAGGAUGAUCCGCCACACUGGGACUGGGACACGGCCCAGACUCCUACGGGAGGCAGCAGUGGGGAAUAUUGGACAAUGGGGGGAACCCUGAUCCAGCCAUGCCGCGUGUGUGAAGAAGGCCUUAUGGUUGUAAAGCACUUUAAGCGAGGAGGAGGCUCUUUUGGUUAAUACCCAAGAUGAGUGGACGUUACUCGCAGAAUGAGCACCGGCUAACUCUGUGCCAGCCGCCGCCGUAA